rnacentral:rRNA from 1 species
AUGUCGACAAGACUCGCAAGGUGCUGGAGAGAUCGCCCUCACCGUCGGAAUCGCACUCCCCGACCGUGCUCCAUCCACCACCACCACCACCUCCGCGGCCCCAGGCCCCGGCGCCACAACACCAACAUGGGCCGCCGCCGUCUCCGCGCCUCUCAGACCAGCGCCCGCCCCUGUUGGCCACAGCACCACAACCCGGCGUCCAAUCCCAGCACCAGCAGUACCACCAGAUCGGCGAGGCGCACCACCAGCAGCAGCACCACGGUGACCACUAGUCAAGCCGCCGAAGCACGACUUCCCUCGCUUCGAUGGCAGCGCGCCUUACCUCUGGCUCGACCGCUGCCGGGCGUAUUUCGACCUCUACCAUGUGCCGCCCGCGAGUUGGGUGACCACGGCGACACUAUACAUUGA